AGUGAACGCUGGCGGUAGGCCUAACACAUGCAAGUCGAACGGCAGCACAGUAAGAGCUUGCUCUUACGGGUGGCGAGUGGCGGACGGGUGAGGAAUACAUCGGAAUCUACUUUUUCGUGGGGGAUAACGUAGGGAAAAUUACGCUAAUACCGCAUACGACCUACGGGUGAAAGCAGGGGAUCUUCGGACCUUGCGCGAUUGAAUGCGCCGAUGUCGGAUUGGCUAGUUGGCGGGGUAAAGGCCCACCAAGGCGACGAUCCGUAGCUGGUCUGAGAGGAUGAUCAGCCACACUGGAACUGAGACACGGUCCAGACUCCUACGGGAGGCAGCAGUGGGGAAUAUUGGACAAUGGGCGCAAUCCUGAUCCAGCCAUACCGCGUGGGUGAAGAAGGCCUUCGGGUUGUAAAGCCCUUUUGUUGGGAAAGAAAAGCAGCAGGUUAAUACCCCGCUGUUCUGACGGUACCCAAAGAAUAAGCACCGGCUAACUUCGUG
rnacentral:rRNA from 1 species